GGAGAAGCUCGGCCAAACACUAACAUAUGUCAUGAAGAAAACGAAUGACCGGCAAUUUGAAAAAGUGGUGCAAAUGAUCUGGGAUAAUCCAGAUGUAGCUCGAGAACUUGGUGCUUUCGGGUCCAAUAAAAAGGCUACAGCAGAGCUGUGGAAACAGCUAUCAAUCAGUUCAAUUGAAUGCACUUGGUCCACCAGUGCGUGAUGGAAGAGGCUGGAAUAAGCAUUUCAUUAUUCAUAUUUUAAGGUAUGGCUCGACUAUAAGUUAAAGCUGAAAAGAAAAAUAGCACUUAACAGAAGUGAGACCAUCGCUACUGGCGGUGGACCUUAUCGCCAGCAGACGUUAUCACCUCUAGAGCAGGAGGUUACUCUCUUCUAGGCUUAGAAAGAGCAGCGAAUCCUGAAGGCGUAAGUCAUGGUGCCAGCAACAGUACCAGUGCUCCACUUGCUUCAGAAAAUUGUACUGAUGAGGAAAAUCUUCAAAGCGAGGUUGACGCUAACCCUCGCAGGAGAGUGCGUUCGUCGGUAGUAAAUGCGGAUGUAAGGGAAAACGAACGAAUUGAGAUGCUGAAGCAGCAGUUGCUUAAUCAGGAGGAGUUACUAAAAGUGGUAAGAGGCCUGGGUGAAAAAAUGCACGACAUUGGAAGAUAUGCGCGGAAAACUUUUGAAAUUUUGAAACAAAAAGAAGCUCGUGAGGAGAGGGAACACUUCGAACGGAUCCAACUGCAAAAGCAAAAACUCGAGAUAAAGCUCCGUGAGCUUGAGUUGAAAGAAUGAAAGUAUAAAAAGCAUUUAUAAAAAAAUUGUACUUAAAUUAUAGGCUAUUUUAUUUAACAGUGUUGAAUUAAACCAAUCCAGUAAUUUUAAGUUUAUUGUGAUUUUCUUCCAAUAUAUCGUCACCUAAAAAACAAAAAGACGUAAAAAACAUCGUUACUGAAGUGGAAAGGGACGUGACUAAUAAUUUUUUUUAAUAAUUCGAUGUAGGGAGUUGCGAUGAAGUCCAUCAUAUCAAUCAAAAAGUGAAUUUUGAAUUUUUCAUUAGUUGCGACUUUUUGCAUUUCAGGUGACGAUAUGUAGCUUUUUAUGCUAUUUAUCUUGCAUUAAAAAUUAAUGAAAGCUGCUGGUUAGAUUCCGUUUUUAUACCUUU